rnacentral:lncRNA from 10 species
GUCUCGGCAGGCUCUUCGGGAAGGGUGAGCCAGGGUGGGACUGGCCAGCCAGGAGGCGCUGGCUGGUGCAGGGGAAGAGGAGACCCCGGCGAGAUUCGGCCGGACCGCUGCGCCGGGCAGGGGAAGAGAAUCAGGAGACAGGCUGACUGGAAAACCCCGGCGGCCGAUGGCGGAGCAAGGCUCAUCGCCGGUGCCAAAAGGCACACCAUGUCGGGGCGCCUUGUUCCCGUCCGCCGUCCUCCCCCACUCUCAGAGGGAAGAACUCAAGAUCUGGGAGGGGACUUGAGUUGAGGGCGUGGCGAUCGUGCUGACUCCCACUGUUCAGGCUUGAAGACGAGUUUCCUGCUGUCUUCAGCCAUUUUCAAAACCUUGUUCUAUAAUACUUUGUGCUGGGCAAGAGGGAUCUAAGGUGAAGAAGAAAGACUGCCUUCUUAGCCCGGCGCGGGGGCUCACGCCUGUACUCGCAACACUUUGGGAGGCCGACGUGGGUGGAUCAUGAGGUCAGGAGUUUGAGAUCAGCCUGGCCAAUAUGGUGAAACCCCGUCUCUACUAAAAAUAUAAAAAUUGGCCGGGCGCGGUGGCUCACGCCUGUAAUCCCAGCACUUUGGGAGGCCGAGGUGGGUGGAUCACCUGAGGUCAAGAGUUCGAGACCAGCCUGGACAACAUGGGAAGAAGGAGAAAGGGCCAACCCCUGAAGAAGCAAUACAGAAACUGAAGGAGACAGAGAAGAUACUGAUCAAGAAACAGGAAUUUUUGGAGCAGAAGAUUCAACAGGAGCUACAAACAGCCAAGAAGUAUGGGACCAAGAAUAAGAGAGCUGCCCUACAGGCUUUGCGGAGGAAGAAAAGAUUCGAACAGCAGCUGGCACAAACUGACGGGACAUUAUCCACCCUGGAGUUUCAGCGUGAGGCCAUUGAGAAUGCCACUACCAAUGCAGAAGUCCUUCGUACCAUGGAGCUUGCUGCCCAAAGCAUGAAGAAGGCCUACCAGGACAUGGACAUUGACAAGGUAGAUGAACUGAUGACUGACAUCACGGAACAACAGGAGGUGGCCCAGCAGAUCUCAGAUGCCAUUUCUCGGCCUAUGGGC